UACGGGGGGGGCAAGCGUUGUUCGGAAUUACUGGGCGUAAAGGGCUCGUAGGUGGCCAACUAAGUCAGACGUGAAAUCCCUCGGCUUAACCGGGGAACUGCGUCUGAUACUGGAUGGCUUGAGUUCGGGAGAGGGAUGCGGAAUUCCAGGUGUAGCGGUGAAAUGCGUAGAUAUCUGGAGGAACACCGGUGGCGAAGGCGGCAUCCUGGACCGAUACUGACACUGAGGAGCGAAAGCGUGGGGAGCGAACAGG
rnacentral:rRNA from 1 species